UCGUCUCUAUCCAUUUGUCGGUUGUGAGCGCGGAGAGGGUGAUCUCCUCUUUCGAGCUGGCUAUUGUACAGCUCCGCCCCUUCACCGAACGAGGGUCGGGACAAGGAGCGCCGCGACGACGACACGCGCCCCAGCGGACGUCAGCCGCUGCAGCGGCGGAGUCGAAGUGGGAGUGGGAGUGGGGAUCGAGGUUCGGGUGGUCAUAGACGUACGUAAGGGUCGUCGGCGUCACGGACGAGAUCUGGUACGGUUGGCUGCGGAGGAACACUACAAGGAGGCACGGGAGGAGGCGUUGCAACAGUCGGACCGCGUUAAACUUGUCAAACAGUUUAAAGCGGGUUGGCCACCUUACUAUGCAGCCAACCUAGUCAAUAUAUUCUUAUUGUGAGUUAUUGGGAUUUUUUUGUGAGUUAUUUUUUUGACGUCGUAGAAAUAAAACUAUUACUUGGACCUUACGUAUACAUAUAGUACCAUACAGAAGUACCUUAUAAUCAGGUACAAGACAGCAGUGGUAAAUACUUUGCUA
rnacentral:rRNA from 1 species